rnacentral:rRNA from 1 species
CAGUAGCCGCGGGAAUACACAGGGUGCGAGCGUUAAUCGGAUUUACUGGGCGUAAAGCGUGCGUAGGCGGCUUCUUAAGUCGGAUGUGAAAUCCCUGAGCUUAACUUAGGAAUUGCAUUCGAUACUGGGAAGCUAGAGUAUGGGAGAGGAUGGUAGAAUUCCAGGUGUAGCGGUGAAAUGCGUAGAGAUCUGGAGGAAUACCGAUGGCGAAGGCAGCCAUCUGGCCUAAUACUGACGCUGAGGUACGAAAGCAUGGGGAGCAAACAGGAUUAGAUACACCUGUAGUCCCUGUCUCUUAUAC